rnacentral:pre_miRNA from 11 species
UUGGGUGGGCAGCUGUUAAGACUUGCAGUGAUGUUUAGCUCCUCUCUAUGUGAACAUCACAGCAAGUCUGUGCUGCUGCCUGCCCCCGU